ACUGAAGACUCAGGAGAGGGGUUUAGAGCACAGCCUCCCUCUCCAGGGUCAGGUUCACGGGAGCUGUUGGGGGCUCCUUCCCUCGCAGCAGUGACCACUCCAAGGACCACGGCCUGGACAUGAGCGGCAGCGGAGUCUAGAUGAAUAUAGGCAGCAGCCAAAGGCCACAGUCACGACAAACCUACACACUCUCACCACUGUCAUCUCAUAUUGUCCUAAAAUUUCCAGCCAGUGCAAAAAAACAUGAAAAAGAAAAAAUACAGCCAUUGGAAAAGAGGAAAAGUAAUUGUUAUUAGCUGAUGAUGUGAAUGUCUUCCUGAAAACCUUAAGAGAACCAACUGGAAAACAACCAGAAAUGAGAGCAUGGAGUUAGGCAACCGCCGAUCUGCUUUCUGUCACUUGGGCGAGUUUUUCCCGUCCUGGGAUUUCAUAUCUCUGGAAUCCUGCAGUACGUAGCCCUCUGUCUGGCUUCCUCGCUCCGUGUAAUGUUCUUGAGAUUCAUCCAUGCAGCUGUGUAUACCUGCAGUGAUUGUUUCUCUUGUUGAAUUGCUGAGAAGGGUUCCAUCGUAUGCCUUUUCCAGUUUAUUUGUUCAUCUGUUGUUAGACAUUUGAGUUAUUUCCAGCUUGGGACUCUUAUGAACAAAACUGCUAUAAACAUGCAUAUUCAAGUCUUUGUGGAUAUGUGCUUUCUUUUGUCCUGGAUAAAUGUCUCCACGUGGGCUUCCUGGGUCUCACGGACCUCACCAGCUGACGUGGCCGGCCCUGGACUUGCCAUGGAGAAGGCAGAGCCUGCCUCCCAGUGGGUCCCUGUGAGGAACAGCAGUACCGGCUUGUCGUCUUUCUGGGAAAUGCAUUUCGCCUCCUCUAGGAACCUCCCGGAUGACCCAGAGUGUUCUCCACCCACUUUUCCUGCCCUGUGCGGUCACCUCAUUUCUACAGGCUUGGGGAAACAAAUGCAAAGUGCUUUCCAGAACGUUUUUGUCUUACACAUGACACUUCUAUGGAAAAAAUGACUUUUUUUCCAUUGUUCCUUCCAGAACCUGAGCACAUCCCUCUGCUGGGAGGACGCUGUCUGUCCAAAUGUCACUGUCCCCCAUUUAGGAGCAGCAGCAGGGCCUUGCUUCAUGUUCAUAUGGGUGUUGAUUGGGAUAUGAUGGAUUCUUCUGUGUACUUUGGAGGAUUUUCUCCUUAGUUUGAAUAGUAAACUGUAAACUCAGACUCAGGACCUGGCUGGUGGAGAGCUGGGUCCCUGGUUGGGGCUGACCACAGAGGCCCAGGGUCUGUCUCUCCUUGGAAAAUGCCCAGGCUGGGCAGGCAAGGAGCUGGGCUGACCUCUGCCAGUGACAAUUCCUGGCAGGUACACCUGGCUGGUCCCCAGUGCCCUGGGCCAGUAACCCUGCAGCAGAGAAUCUAACGCUAGCCAGGCCUGAGCCGUGGGUCAUCUGUGAAGUGGCCUGCCCACUGUCAUAAGAGGUGCACCCGUCUGCCUGAAGCCAGGCUCAGCUAGCCGACUGGUGAGCUGCCUCCUGCUUCAGAGCUCAGGCCCCGGAGUUCUGCUGUGGCCGCAGGCAUGCACCCUCGUAUUGGCCUGCACAGCAGGCCUUGGGCUGCUCCAUGCAUCACAUGUGCUCCAAAGGAUCGUGGAUGCCUGAGUUCCACCCUGGAGGGACCGGGCAUGGCCUGGACAUCAGGACGUUCACAUCUCCUCAAGGAUUCGUCCUCCGUGACCCUGCUGUGGCUCCAGACGGUUUACAAAGGGCACUCACCUGUGCCUGCUCAUUGACACUUCACUGUGUUCCCAUUCGAUAAGGAAACCACGGCUCCAAAGACCAGCUGAAGUCACGGGUGGUAAGAGGCCAAGCUGAGGCCCCUUGCCCCAUCCCUGGCUCCAGGCAGCCUUUGCCCCCACCUCUCCCUCACCGUGGCCUCCAGGGUCUCCCAAAGCUUCCUUCCCUCCUUCAAAUCUCAGUUUGGUCCGUGGUGAGUCAGGUGUGCUGAGUGGACUAAAGUUCAUAGCUCCAGCCAGGUACAGCCCGGGCAGCACCAGCACCUUCAGUUUCAAGGGGUCCUGGGAAGGCUGGCUUGGGAAGAGUUCCGAGCCUGAAGGGUACAGGUGGGUCAGCAGGUGGGAGGAGCUGCCAUCAUCCAUGAUGUGUGGACCAUGAGUUUCUUCUGAGAGUGAACAUUUCCCCAGGCAGGUGUUUUGGGGGAAGGGAAUGUGCCCUGCAGGCAGGUGUGGCCCUGGGUAGCUGCAUGGUCGGGUGCAUGUGGCCCCAGGCAGAUGCAUGGUGGGUGGUGUGGCCCCAGGCAGGUUCAUGGUGGGGGAGAUGUGCAUGGUGGUGGGGUAUGACCCCAGGCAGGUGCAUGACCAGGUGGUGUGACUAGAAGGCUUCCUCCAUCCUUGCUGGACGGGGGGUCCCACACUGCCUGGGCCCUCUCUUUGGGUCACAGGCUUGCUGCCCCUUUUGUUGCCAUUUCUGGGCCUGUGUUAGCCAAGGUGACCUUCAGCAGCCACCAUCAUGCACAGAGAAGGACCUCUGCGCCUCUCAGAGUCCCUGGCCUGACAAGAAGAAACUGAAGCCAAAGGCAGCCCAAACCUCGGGGCACCAUGGGCCCCUUGGCGGCCGCGGCUCAUUAAAUGCCCUCUUUCUAAGGGUUUCCUCAGAGCCUUCAUUCCCUGCUCAGCAUUCCAAUGGCCUCCUCCGGGAUGCCUUUUAAUAUCCCUGCCAAAUUGAAAUGUGAGCCACCUAAUUACAACCAGAACAUCCUGCCCUUGGACGCGCUCACUUGAUCCAUGGAGGGACUGUUCCCUCUGUUGUUCACGUCCUGACUGGACUUGGAGAUGAGAGACUUGAAACCUGCAUCUGUGUCUGGUCAGGAAGGACCAGCAGCUCUAGUGACCACAGAGAGCAGAGCCCAAAGCACUGACUCAAGCCCCUGCCAGGUGCAGAGCCUGGAGGUCCCAGAGUGACCACUCCUAUCACUGGAGCCAAUCCCAGAGUGACCGUCCCUAUCACUGGAGCCGAUCCCAGAGUGACCGUCCCUAUCACUGGCGCCGAUCCCAGAGUGACCGUCCCUAUCACUGGAGCCGAUCCCAGAGUGACCGUCCCUAUCACUGGCGCCGAUCCCAGAGUGACCGUCCCUAUCACUGGCGCCGAUCCCAGAGUGA
rnacentral:lncRNA from 1 species